CGAACGCUGGCGGCGCGCCUAACACAUGCAAGUCGAACGAGCGAGAGAGAGUUUACUUUUUCGAGCGAGUGGCGAACGGGUGAGUAACGCGUGAGGAACCUGCCUCAAAGAGGGGGACAACAGUUGGAAACGACUGCUAAUACCGCAUAAGCCCACGACCCGGCAUCGGGUAGAGGGAAAAGGAGCAAUCCGCUUUGAGAUGGCCUCGCGUCCGAUUAGCUAGUUGGUGAGGUAAUGGCCCACCAAGGCGACGAUCGGUAGCCGGACUGAGAGGUUGAACGGCCACAUUGGGACUGAGACACGGCCCAGACUCCUACGGGAGGCAGCAGUGGGGAAUAUUGCACAAUGGGGGAAACCCUGAUGCAGCGACGCCGCGUGGAGGAAGAAGGUCUUCGGAUUGUAAACUCCUGUUGUUGAGGAAGAUAAUGACGGUACUCAACAAGGAAGUGACGGCUAACUACGUGCCAGCAGCCGCGGUAAAACGUAGGUCGCAAGCGUUGUCCGGAAUUACUGGGUGUAAAGGGAGCGCAGGCGGGAAGACAAGUUGGAAGUGAAAUCCAUGGGCUCAACCCAUGAACUGCUUUCAAAACUGUUUUUCUUGAGUAGUGCAGAGGUAGGCGGAAUUCCCGGUGUAGCGGUGGAAUGCGUAGAUAUCGGGAGGAACACCAGUGGCGAAGGCGGCCUACUGGGCACCAACUGACGCUGAGGCUCGAAAGUGUGGGUAGCAAACAGG
rnacentral:rRNA from 1 species